rnacentral:rRNA from 1 species
CCUACGGGGGCAGCAGUGGGGAAUAUUGGACAAUGGGCGGAAGCCUGAUCCAGCCAUGCCGCGUGUGUGAAGAAGGCCUUUUGGUUGUAAAGCACUUUAAGCGAGGAGGAGGCUACUAGUAUUAAUACUACUGGAUAGUGGACGUUACUCGCAGAAUAAGCACCGGCUAACUCUGUGCCAGCAGCCGCGGUAAUACAGAGGGUGCGAGCGUUAAUCGGAUUUACUGGGCGUAAAGCGUGCGUAGGCGGCUGAUUAAGUCGGAUGUGAAAUCCCUGAGCUUAACUUAGGAAUUGCAUUCGAUACUGGUCAGCUAGAGUAUGGGAGAGGAUGGUAGAAUUCCAGGUGUAGCGGUGAAAUGCGUAGAGAUCUGGAGGAAUACCGAUGGCGAAGGCAGCCAUCUGGCCUAAUACUGACGCUGAGGUACGAAAGCAUGGGGAGCAAACAGGAUUAGAUACCCUGGUAGUCCAUGCCGUAAACGAUGUCUACUAGCCGUUGGGGUCUUUGAGACUUUAGUGGCGCAGCUACGCGAGUAGUAGACCGCCGUGGGAGGUACGGUCGCGACGACGUAAACGUUAAAGUAGUAAGUUAGACGGCGUUGAGGACGUUGCCGACGGCGACGACGAGGGAGGUAGGG